AUGACACCGUCGGCCUCUCGCCUCGCCGUCGUGCGCCCUUACUGCGCUGACGAGGCAACCUCCGCCCGCCAUUGCCACGCCGACGAGGCAGCCUCCGCUCGCCAUUGCCGUGCCCACGAGGCAGCCGCCGCCCGCCAUUGCCGCACAGACGAGCCAGUUGCUGCACCAGAAACUCCCUCGUUCUUUCCCAACAUCAACCUCAGCCAGGAGCGAACGAUGGAUAGACGUUGGAUUCAUGGCACAUUGUUUUCCCGUGAGUACAUUGAAGGUGUCAAAGAAUUUAUGAACUUCAUUCAAGAAAAAUUCAGCAAGGAUGAUAAAAUACUCUGCCCAUGUAGAGAAUGCCUUAAUCAUAAGUACCAGCAUCAGACCGUUGCGAACACGCACCUAUUGAUGUAUGGCAUGGAAAGUACAUAUACUCGUUGGAUAUAUCAUGGAGAAGACUUUGAUGUAGAUGUUAUUGAACAUCCUGUUGAUGUGCAUGACACCGAGGAUGGUGACAAUGGCGCUGACCGAUUUGAAGAGAUGUUUGAAGACCUACUCACAGCAGUAGAACAAGCUCAGAGUGAAACUGAAAAUCAAGAUGCUAACAAUGGUGGAAACCCUUAUGAGAAUGAGUCUUUUUUGAAGGAUGUGAUGAAGGAGGCAAAACGGCAGCUUUAUCAUGGUUGUACCAAGUUUUCAAGGUUCUCCUUUGUGGUAAAGCUUCUUCACUUGAAGUCAUACCAUAGGAUCCCGAAUAGUGCAUUUACUGAAAUUUUGAAGCUAUUAGCUGAAGCAUUCCCUGAACCCAAUACGCUCCCAAAAUCGUAUAAGGAAGCAAAGAACCUUCUAAAGGAAUUAGGCCUUGGGUAUGAGUCUAUACAUGUGUGCUUCAAUAAUUGA
rnacentral:rRNA from 1 species